rfam:Elusimicrobia bacterium RIFOXYA2_FTLL_69_6 rifoxya2_full_scaffold_20778, whole genome shotgun sequence.
GCCCCGAUAGCUCAAUGGAUAGAGCUAGCGCGUCCUAAGCGUUAGAUGGGGGUUCGAUUCCCUCUCGGGGCA